rnacentral:rRNA from 1 species
UNUGGUCUGUCACUGACGCUGAGGCUNGAAAGCGUGGGUAGCGAACAGGAUUAGAUACCCUGGUAGUCCACGCCGUAAACGAUGAGUGCUAGGUGUUAGGCCCUUUCCGGGGCUUAGUGCCGGAGCUAACGCAAUAAGCACUCCGCCUGGGGAGUACGACCGCAAGGUUGAAACUCAAAGGAAUUGACGGGGGCCCGCACAAGCGGUGGAGCAUGUGGUUUAAUUCGAAGCAACGCGAAGAACCUUACCAGGUCUUGACAUCCCGAUGCUAUUCUUAGAGAUAGGAAGUUACUUCGGUACAUCGGAGACAGGUGGUGCAUGGUUGUCGUCAGCUCGUGUCGUGAGAUGUUGGGUUANNNNNNGCAACGAGCGCAACCCUUAUUGUUAGUUGCCAUCAUUAAGUUGGGCACUCUAGCGAGACUGCCGGUAAUAAACCGGAGGAAGGUGGGGAUGACGUCAAAUCAUCAUGCCCCUUAUGACCUGGGCUACACACGUGCUACAAUGGUCGGUACAACGAGUUGCGAGCCGGUGACGGCAAGCUAAUCUCUGAAAGCCGAUCUCAGUUCGGAUUGGAGGCUGCAACUCGCCUCCAUGAAGUCGGAAUCGCUAGUAAUCGCGGAUCAGCACGCCGCGGUGAAUACGUUCCCGGGCCUUGU